ACUCUUUGUACAAAAAACAAUUCUUGAAGAAACUCCUGAUGAUCUCUAUUCUGCUAGCGUUAGUUCCUGCCUUGCCGGCCAUGCACAACAUCAUUGUCUGCUCUCUGUGAAACCGAGCAACGCACCAGCCCAUUACAAUUUAUACAAGCAUAAUUAUUGAUACCGCGCAGUCCAAGCGAAAACAGCCCACGAUGUUACCAUCCUCAUCUCCACGGUGUAGCGCCGGCGACGAUCGCUGGACUUGAACCGCUGAGAUGGCCAUCUCAUGCCAGUCGGAACUGAAUCCUUAAGCAAGGGAAGGAGUAAACCACAUUUGCAUGCUUGGGACAAAUGGUAAGGGAGGAGUGUGGUUUCCUUAUGACGCAGCCGAGUCCUUGUUGGUUGCGCGCUGAAAGAGCG
rnacentral:lncRNA from 1 species